GCUGUUCGCUGGUCUCACGCGCGCGCGGGGAAGUGGCGGAGUCCGUGCGCGGAGCCCAGGAGCCUGUGGAAGCGCAGCUUGUCCCGGAAGGCAGGCGGUCUGGGAAGGGAUUCGUUUCCGCGCAAUAAGAGUACUUUCUAGAGAAGACCGGCCCCUUUUGUCCUGGGACGUAAGCAGCGAGGCGACCUGACUCGUGCACGCAGCGAGGAUUGAUGCAGCUGCAUCACCUGUCUCCGCCGUGCGCGGGACAGGUGAGUUCUGAGCCACCCAGAACACCGCGGCUCGGCUCAGCCCCAGUGCUCCGGUUCAGGGCUACAGGAUGCGAGUCCUUUAACGAAACGGAUUUGCUUCUCGUGACGCCCUUGAAGAGACGCCUUCCUCCACCGCUGCACUGCAGAGAGGUGGGCGCCGCCACCCCCACCCCACCUGCGCCUCCUCCAGGAAGCCUUGCUCAGGGCAAGGAUUGUGACAUCCCAGGUCACUCUACAGCUACAAAGAGGCACUUGUGGACACUCGUCACUUGUUGGGAUGCGUCAUGGCUUCUGAUCACUCCAGGUGCUGCAGUGAUGGGAACGCCUCCGACAGUGUUUCUGCUUCCAGCAUUAUUCACAAUAGCCAAGAUAUGAAAUCAACCCAAGUGUCUUGUUGACAGGUAAAUAAAUAAAGACAAUGUGGCAUAUGUGUACAAUGGAAUAUUAUUCAGCCAUCAAAAAGAAGGAAUCCUGCCAUUUGCAGCAUCAUGGAAGAACCUGGAGAACAUUAUGCUAAGUGAAACAAGCCAGACAUAGAAAGAGAAAUACUGUAAGAUCUCACUUUUAUGUAGAAUCUUAAAGUUGAAUUCAUAGAAGCAGAGAGUAGAAUGGUGGUCACUAGGGGAUGGGGGAAGGGAAAUGGGAAGACGUUGGUCAACUUUAGUUAUAAGACGAAUAAGUUCUAGGAAUCUGAUGUAGAGCAUGGUGACUGUAGUUAACAAUACUGUUCUGUACACUUGAAAUCUGCUAAGAGAGUAGAUCUGGAGUGUCCUCACCACAGCCACACACACACACACACACACACACACACACACACACACACACGUGACUACGUGAGGUGAUGGAUGUGCUGAUUUAACUGUGGUGAUCAUUUCAUAAUGUAAGUGUAUAUAAAAUCAUCACAUUGUACACUUUAAAUAUAUGUAAUUUAUAUCUGUCUAUUAUUCCUCAAUAAAACUGGAAAACAAAUAAACAGACAAACAAAAAACAAAACAAAAGAAAUCAAAGAACUUAUCAUGGCCCAUGUCAAGCAGUGGUAAAGGCAAAAAUCGGCCUUUCCUUGGGGUGAGUAAUAACAUCGCAGGAUAUGAAGAAACACCGAGAAUAGCAAAAUGCAGCAGCUUCUCCCAGGGGCUUCAGGACACCGCAGAGUCUGUGGUAGACUAUGGAGAGUCGGACCACAUCCUGCAAGGAGCAGGGGAAGAUUCUCCUUGUAUGGACUGAAGGCUUGUCUGCACCAUGUCUGUCCUUGAAAGAGUAUUCUAAAUUUCCCCUUGAUUUGAAUGAUCUGUGGUAUACAUUUCCCAGCAAAAACAAGACAGCCUAGUGAGAAAACAAACGCCUCACAUUAUUCCCGGAACGUGCCCAGAACCUGGGAACACUGGUGGCCCGUCCAGGCAGGGACUCUGGUCGCCCUUCCCUCGUGCUCCGUUUCACCAGUGUCAGCCUUUUCUUCCCCCAGAAGCACAUGCAGC